rnacentral:lncRNA from 1 species
GAUAACGAGCAAAGAGGGACAGCUGUACAAGCCAAUUUUUUGCCCGGCCUAAAACCCAAAUUUUUAUCGCCCAAAUUCACUAGCCUAACCCCAAACUAAACCUACCCAAAUAACCCAUUAUAAGCCCAAAUUAGAAAAAAAAAACUAGAGGCCUGAUUGGCCCAAAACCUAAACUCUUCAGCAGAAACCCUAGCCCCCUAUUAUGCAGCCACCGACCCCAACUGCCG